CCUACGGGGGGCAGCAGUGGGGGAUAUUGGACAAUGGGGGAAACCCUGAUCCAGCGACGCCGCGUGAGUGAAGAAGUAUUUCGGUAUGUAAAGCUCUGUCAGCAGGGAAGAAAGAAAUGACGGUACCUGACCAAGAAGCCCCGGCUAACUACGUGCCAGCAGCCGCGGUAAUUCGAAGGGGGCAAGCGUUAUCCGGAAUUACUGGGUGUAAAGGGAGCGUAGACGGUGGUGCAAGUCUGGAGUGAAAGGCGGGGGCCCAACCCCCGGACUGCUCUGGAAACUGUGUAACUUGAGUGCAGGAGAGGUAAGCGGAAGGCGUGGUGUAGCGGUGAAAUGCGUAGAUAUUAGGAGGAACACCAGUGGCGAAGGCAGCUUACUGGACUGUGACUGACGUUGAGGCUCGAAAGCGUGGGGAUCAAACAGGAUUAGAUACCCUGGUAGUC
rnacentral:rRNA from 1 species